GAUGAACGCUAGCGACAGGCCUAACACAUGCAAGUCGAGGGGCAGCAUGAAAUUAGCUUGCUAAUUUUGAUGGCGACCGGCGCACGGGUGAGUAACACGUAUGCAACCUGCCUGUAAGCGGGGGAUAACCCGGAGAAAUUCGGACUAAUACCGCAUAAUAUCAUUAAUUCUCAUGUUUUAAUGAUUAAAAUUUUAUUGCUUAAAGAUUGGCAUGCGUAUGAUUAGCUAGUUGGAGGGGUAAUGGCCCACCAAGGCGACGAUCAUUAGGGGUUCUGAGAGGAAGGUCCCCCACAUUGGAACUGAGACACGGUCCAAACGCCUACGGGAGGCAGCAGUGAUGAAUAUUGGUCAAUGGACGCAAGUCUGAACCAGCCAUGUCGCGUGAAGGAUGACUGUCCUAUGGAUUGUAAACUUCUUUUAUAUGGGGAUAAAGUGUGAGACUUGUCUCAUUUUGCAUGUACCAUAUGAAUAAGCAUCGGCUAACUCCGUGCCAGCAGCCGCCGUAACAC
rnacentral:rRNA from 1 species